rfam:Leptolyngbya sp. NIES-2104 DNA, contig: contig1.
GGGCGAUUAACUCAGUGGUAGAGUGCAUCCUUGACAGGGAUGAAGCCACAAGUUCGAAUCUUGUAUCGCCCA